AACGAACGCUGGCGGCAGGCUUAACACAUGCAAGUCGAACGCCCCGCAAGGGGAGUGGCAGACGGGUGAGUAACACGUGGGGAUCUGCCCAAUGGUACGGAAUAAUUCCGGGAAACUGGGACUAAUACCGUAUGUGCCCGCAAGGGGAAAGAUUUAUCGCCAUUGGAUGAACCCGCGUCGGAUUAGCUAGUUGGUGAGGUAAAGGCUCACCAAGGCGACGAUCCGUAGCUGGUCUGAGAGGAUGAUCAGCCACACUGGGACUGAGACACGGCCCAGACUCCUACGGGAGGCAGCAGUGGGGAAUAUUGGACAAUGGGCGCAAGCCUGAUCCAGCCAUGCCGCGUGAGUGAUGAAGGCCUUAGGGUUGUAAAGCUCUUUCGCCGACGAAGAUAAUGACGGUAGUCGGAGAAGAAGCCCCGGCUAACUUCGUGCCAGCCGCCGCAGUAAGAC
rnacentral:rRNA from 1 species